ensembl:lncRNA
AGUAAACAGCCUUUUAUGCAGGAGGAGAUGUAAGGAAAUACUGCUCUGCUCACGCUCUGCCAUUGAGUUAAGGUUCCAGGCACAGCAGAAGGCUGCUCCAAGGCUGGUGCUUGAAAACGGACCUGGAAAAGUGUGUGUGAGCUGGAAUUGUCUGGAGGGUAUUUGAGAGGCCCAUUCAUUUCAUAGGAAAAGUUCCAUUCCAGUAAAAUUGUCCACUCAUAUUUGAUGAAGGAGAGGAAAGGAGCAGCUGCCGUUAUUCCCUGGAGAAGUUGCUUUGCAGAUCCCCAAUUUUGGAAAGCUACAGAUGGAAGUGGUUCUGAUUAGCCCCAAGCAGGUAUUUACAAGAAUCACUUCCAGUCCAUAUUGCCAGAAGAGGAUCUAGAAAGGCCACAGGGACUGCAGAUGGAAACCCCACUGCCCAGGGCUGCUCUGCUCUGCGCAGCAGGCAGUGAGGGGGAGGCAUGAAAGCCCGGUGGAGAAGCUGAGCACAGACGGUGCUAGGAAACGAGGCAGGGCACAGGGUGCUGAUGCUGGUGGCAAACGCGUACCAAACCGACUCUGCUCUGACGUCUGUGUGAUGGUGAAGAGUCGAAAUGUUGCACUUCAGUGAUUCUCCAGACCAUGCCUGUACUGGGGAAUAAAUUCAGGUACAGUGAGGAGGAAAACACCACAAAUGUCACAAGAAGAAUUUGUGUGAAUCCUGGCAACCCUGCAUGAGCUCUAUGGGUGUGAGAACGUGUCGGAGAUCCCUGCUGCCAGAGCUCCUGACUGUCACUGCUACCAACUGGCACAGCAUCAGUAAAUUUAUCUUUAGAUGGGAAUACACCGUCAGCUCCACUACCUUGCUCAAUCAAGGAAACCAACCAGCCUGGAGAACACAAGGACCGUCUGUAGAGGAGCACGUAGGAGAUGUCACAGCAACCCGCUGCAUUCCCUGGCUUCCCACUGGGCUGCGCACUGCUGGUGGGGAGCUCCUGUCUGCGUGCACCUGUGGCUGCGUGAUGGGGAACGGCUUUGGCUUCAGGAGCAACCCCAGCACAGGCUGGACUCGGGCCAGAUGGGAGCCGGGAACAGCUUUUGUGACAAUGAUGGAUGCGGUGUAGCUGCCGAUGGAUGGAGAGCAGACAUCCCCUUGUAUCCUUCCAGACCACUCCAGCAUUCAGUCCUGUGCUACCAUCCUGCCUGAAGGAAGAUGGAUCCAGGAAUACAACAACUGCAGGGUACUUUGCACAAUGCCACGGAUCAUGCCAUACCUGCACCUGAUGCACAAGCAUCACUUUGGGACACAGUCCGGGGGAAAAGGCCUCUGAUUUACUACUUGAGCCAAAAGUCCUUGCUGUAUGUUGUGGUAUGUUGUGGUAUAUCUCUGGAUGCUAUGUGUGGGACCAGAACAGUGGGCUGUGCCAGCAGCAGGGCAACCCUCAGAGCACUAAGAGAUACUGGAAGAAGGAGGGCAGAAAUCACUUCACCUGAGGGCUUCAGCAUGGGUUGCCAUGCAAAGUGUGGGCUGGAGAACCACAGCUCAGGAAUAAAAGCUGCUGCUGAGAAGCCACAAAACCACCGAGACAAUUCCAGCUGGCAGCUCAGAUCCAUCAACGUCUCAUUAAACAAAUGCCUCCCUUACAAAAGGAAGAGGGGAAAAAACCAAGCUGCGUGUGUUUCUGAGCGGCCAUUUCAGAACAGAGCGCAGGAGUCAGGGAAAAACUGCAAAUGGGAAUUUGCAAACACUGGAGUUGCUGAUGGAGAGCUCUGGCAAAGGCACAGUGCACUGCGAGCAGCAGCUGUAGAGAUGGACAGAGAUUUCCUCAGGUGGAUAAUCCCCUGAGCAGCAAAGGUAAAUUACAGGUGUGUUUGUCAUUGGAGCCCUAUGUGGCUUUCACUUCAUUAUAUCAAACUUGGUGUGCACAUGUGCAUCACUGCCAGGACUGAAAUUUCCCUGUCCCAGACAGUGAGAGGCAUUUUCAGCAGCUACGUUGUGCUGCAGCGCUGCCAGCCCGGGGAGUGAGCUGAGAUGAAUGAUGCCACCUCUCAGUCCUGCUCACAGAGCAGCUGAACUCUGCGUAGGGGCUGCAAAUAGGUGCAGGCAGGAGUGGAUGUAGGAUGGGAAGCUCUCACCUCUCAACCCUCAGCUGAGACUCAGCAGCCGGGGAGCUCAGUGCUUGCAGCUGCUGCUCUGCAAAGUAAGCAGAGGAACCCUUUCCAGCAGCAGGCUGAGCUGAUCUCAGCUGCUCCAAUGGGGCAGUGGUGUGGGGAGGUGGGCUGCACCCCAGUAAUAGUGGGGACCCCAGGAAGGAUGCUCAUGCAUCCAUGCGGUGCUGGUGGCUUGGUGGGCAUGACGGAUAGGAUCAACCUUCAAACCCUUACAUCCCACCUGGGGUCCAGAGGGCCUCAGGAUACCCCACCAGUUUCAGAAAGCCAUGGGGGCAAUCCCCAGCAAGAAACAGCAAUGGAACGCUCUGGCAAUGCCACCUCCUCUCUUAGCACCUGCAGCCCUUCCACUGGAAAAAAUGAAUGGCUUGUAGGAGACAAUAACAUUAUUAUAAAUCAAGUUGUAUUUCUAUUAUAAUGACGAAGGGAGAACACACUUUCUAUAUGCUAAAUAUAUUCGUGUGGUUAUAUGAUAGUAGCAUUCCUUAAAUUGAUGAUAUUUAUCAGCUGAGGAAAACAAAUUUCUAUAUACAGAAGAAAAUAAUUAAAGGAAAGGGGAGAAUAAUAGCAGCUUCACAGCAGUCAAGUCUGGCAAUGUCUUAAGAGAAAUAUUGAUGUUCUUUUGGAUGCAUGUCAAGUAGAAAUGGAAAGAUAGCAGGGCAAUUUCUUCUGCAGUUAUAACUACAAAGGAUCUUUAAACACUUGCAGUCCUACCCAGGAUGAAAUUUUGUUUCCAGCAGACUGACUUCUCCUUGCUUUCUCUGAUGGGAAAAAGAAAAAUUGGUUACAAGGGAAUUUUUGUUUAUUUGUCUUUUUGGAACCUGUUGAGUGUCAUCUAUACUCUGCUUAACCUGACAUAUCGCUGCAAAAAAAAAGAGGAAAAAAUACAACCUGCAAGUACAGGAUCAUUGUGGCGAAGCCCAGUGGUGCUGUUACACUUAUUUAAGGAGGCUAUUGGCUUUUCCAUCAUUUCCCCUCUUUUUUUUUUUUUUUUUUUUUUCCAGCUGCUGAUGAUCUGGCUGAGAUGUUAGCCUGGGGUGGCACCCGAGUGGGUGGAACAUCCCUAACCCGUGGGCUUGCUUUGCAGAGUAAGGAGUGCAGAGCUGGGAGGGGCUGGAGCACAGCCAUUGCAGCAGCACCCAGCCCAUUUGGACUCAUGGUAGCACCCAAGGCAUGUGGGGGAGGCAUGCAGCACCUCGUUAUCCACCUGCCAGGGCCGGACAGGACUGCUGCAGAGCCACAGGUGUGUGCAGCACUGCUUAUAUAUUCACCUGAUAUAUACACCUCAGAGGUGCUGUACGGGCCUUUAUUACAAUGCUGGCAUAGAGUGCUGUUGUUGCUAAAGCUGUCAGGGCUUAUAUCACUUGAAAAAUAAUUGUCCAGUCUCUGAGGACCUGGGUAGUGCUUAACACAACCGUUUUUCUAGGCCAUAAUAUAAAGCAUGACGUUGAUGUACUGCUACUGCACCUCAUAACUGAAUUCUAGUGCCUGCGUUCCUUGGGUUUAUUAGGGACGUUCAGAUUGAAAUUGCAAAUCUCCAUGCAAAGCUCUCUGCCAUUGCUCCCAGGUGGGGCACCCACAGGGCUCCAGUCUCACCAAUGGCCGUGCUGCUCAGGGGGUGCUCAGGAGCCCGGGUGUGAUGCACAGAGGGUUGCAAGGUAAGCAGGAGGCAGUGGGGAAUAACAAAAGGCUGAUGAAGUUUUCCUGAACUAUGUGUUCUUUUUAAUUCUCGCUUCCUUUAUAGAUGCUCUGAUAAACAGCAAACAGCUUGUUAACAGUAGCAAAAUGGAAAUUUCCCCUGCACAGUAUAAAUUUCAGUGAUAUACACGAAUAUAAAACAGUGUAAAGCUACACUCUUCUUUACAAAAACAAAUGUGCCUCAACAUUGUACAAGAGACACUAAUACAGUACAGCCAUUAAGAAAUAUAUAACGUUGACAUUAAUUGAAGUGAAACGAGGUGUGCUUGGAUGAAUAGAACUCAGGGAAACAGGUAAAUUGUGCUUGUAAGUGAGGGAGGGACUCUGCAAUAGGAUGGCUGUUGUGCAUGCUGUGACUGCCAGGCCAUUAUUGCCAUCCCUGGAGACAGCCAUGGGCUCAGCACUGUGUAGCACUGGUCAUAUGCGCCCCUGAAUUGCCUCUGUUGUUUGCUUGUGCAGCUCACACCCUUCUUUCGUACCUUUAUCCUUUUGGUGACAUCAUGUUUUUUAGUGUGUUUUACUGCCCAGUACCAUAUAACACAUGGAUCUACUCACCUAAUGAGGCAGUGGUUGUUGGCAUCCCAAUGUAGAGGAGCAUAAUGGCUCGGUGAAGACAUGUUUAUGAACUCUAAUGCAACUUUUGUGGUACGUUUUAUGUAAUUGAAAAAUUAUCAACCUGACAUUAAAACAAGUCUUGGUUUAAGGGAGUGUAUUUUUCGCUAAUGGAUUGCUACAUUUCAUUUCCAUAUCCUUUUUCCAGCAAUUUUGUGUUUAAAUAUCAUUGCCCCUUUGAAUUAUGUAAGGCUUUUUUCACUGUGAUGUUACAGCAAUUUGCCAGCCUCAUGUGUGUAAUUAGUUUAAUUAGCACUACAGCUUUAAUGGGAGCAUUGGCGGCUGCUAUACACGCUCUGUUCUUCACUGGACAAAGUCAAAAGUUGUGUUUCUCAGUCAGCUGCAGCUGAAGAGCUGAGUCCUUCCCAGGCUCUUUGUCCCCAUGUUUUGCCCUUCCAGGGAGCAUCACGUUCUUAAUUUUGGCUGUAAUCCCUGCCUGUGUCCUCUCUCCACUUGGGACACAGGAGUGAACACUGGGCAAGCUCAUUGAACUGGUUUGCUCAGCUGUCAAAGUACAUUCCCUUGGCCUUUCCGAUAAUCACUAAUUAUUAAUAGCGCACAAAAUAAAUAGUAUUCUUACUGUCUUGGGCUGUGCCUGCAUAAUGGAUGGGGAGAAACCAAAGCGAUGCAUCUUCUUAAAACAGAACAUUUCACCAAGCCCAGCAAAAGCUUGACAUUGAAAACAACUCCUGGGGAACUGUCAAAAUGACAAUGGGAAAAGCAUUAACGAUUCAUCCAUGUGCCAUUAGCCCUGCAUGUUAGACCUGACGCUGUGCGAAGUCAAUAGAUCAUUUUUAUGUUCUACAAUAGAAAAACAUUGAGUUCGAAUGGAAGCAUAUGACCUCUAGGCUACAUUAAACCACUAUUAAGAAAAAGAUCAUUAUCUGAAAAGUGCAAAACCUUAUUAAUUCGGUCCGCUUGUCUGUCAGACUCCGAGCAUUUCCAAUCUGUUUCCUCUGGUGUCACCUGGCAAUCGAUGCAUUAACGCUCGGCAGAAGCUCAGCAACUCAAACGCAGCGUUAAGAGAGCACAUUCACCAGUAUGAUCAUCAUCAUUUGUUAAGAAAAUGAUGCUUGUUUUAUAUCUCAACCACUUCUUCCAAAGGUGAUUGUGGCCAAGCCGCAGUUCAGGUCUCUCCUUAUAAAAAGAAACAAUAUACUACUUGGUGUCCUCUGCGUGUUUCAAGAGAAACAACUUCAAGCCAUUAAAGCACACAAGAAUCAACUAUUUUCUCCAGAAAAGCACGGUACUUUUCAAAGGAAACUUUCAGGAAGAGAGCUCAGUUCAGGGGAGCCAGGUUUUGCUCAUCAUGUGAAUGCCAUGAGCACAUCCAUCUCCACGCUGGGAUGGCACACACCAAUGUGCUCCUGGACCGAGAUCAGUGGCUCCGAAGGCAAAGGUCCAUGAUGGGCUUUUCUAUUCUCAGAAAGAAACCAUCACCACCAAAGCACUGCAGUGAGUCUUCUCCAUUUUGUGCCCGAAGGCCAAACCAUUUUGGAAGAUUACAUUCUACCUGCAGGUAUUUGUAACGAGAAGUAUGUGAGUACUUCUCUUGGUUAUGUGUUGACCGCAGUGAAACUCAUAGCAUGCUUAAUGUUGUGUUCCUGCUCACUGGAGAGACAGUUCCAUCCAUUCUGGAGCCUCCUGAAGGAGAGAUUUCAUUUCCAGGCUCACCGCUGCCUCACACAAAGGCUGUGCUGGCAGCACUGGAGGCUCUGUGAUGCAAAUUGGACAGGACUUUACUGGAGGACAGACCUGCUUCCCCACCCCGUACCAUUGUUAAUGCUCACACUUGGCAGAGAUCUCAAUUAGUCUUAUUUUAAUUUCAGCUGACUAUAUUACUCCAUUCCACAUUGAUUUCUAAACAACCACUUUUAUUGAUUUAAGCCACUAAAGCUGCCAUAACAAUACAGUAAUAAUACAAUAAAACAACAAUAGAUUUUUAUUUUGCUUUCUUUUUUUUUUUUAAUUGGUAUGCAGAGCAACUCAUGUGGGAGCGUGCAGAACGUCCAUGACCAAAAUGCUGCUGUGGUGCUGAGCAUUCCCCCAAACCCAACAGGAGGGGCUGGAAGGGCAGGCUGCAGGUCAGUGCACACUGGGUAACAUGAUAUCUAGGGUUGUUCUCCAAUGCAUUACUUGGAAACUUGAAAAGCUUCAUGGAUACUAUGGGAUCAAGCUGGUGUAAAGCUCGUGUGAGCUCCAGCCCCCAGCAGUGCUGAUGGAAUGAUGAUGAGCAGUGCCAACAGCACCGGCGCUGCCUAUUAGCUGGCCCCUUUGCAUCCAACUGCUGCUUGCACCACUGCAGUUAUAGGGAGCUGGCUGCAUAUCUAUCAUAUGCUGUGGAAAAGCAGAAGUAGGGAGAGGGUCCCCUAUAUUGGCUUAAUAAUAGAAAUCCCCACUUGGGAAUGGAUGGAUGAAGAUCAGAGCCAGACCAGUGACAUUUAUAACAACUUUUAAUUGGCAUGUAGCAAACAAAAUCCAGAGGCUGGGGAACUUACCCCACAACUCAUGUGCUGUUACUGCUUGGUGCUGUCUGUCAAUGAGUCCUGCUAUGACUCAUGGAAUUGGGCAGUGUAGGCACAGCAACCACUUUCCCCUACCCCUUCAAGGAGCAUAUUCGGGACAUAUCUUUAUCAUUUUACUUAGUGGUGCAUAAUAGAGGCCAAGAAGGCAGUGCUAUUUUUUAUCUAGCUGCAGUAAUUAGGUGAAAAUUUAGUACUAGAAAUGGGCAAACAGAAUUAACCAGCUUAUUUAAUGGAAAACGAGAGACUUACAUAGCAGGGUAAAUAUAGUUCAGUGUGUAUUUGAAAGUUAAAUGAGAUGUGCAUUAGAACAUGUUUUAGUUUUAAAAUAGUUUCAUACUUCAAAUCACUUGUACAGUCAUUGUGGUUAAAUGUAUUCAGCAGGAUGGGGAAAAUGGGCAGCUUUGGGGCUUUGGUGGUGGUGCUGUUUGAGUGAUGCCUGUCAGUGGGAUCACAGCCUGAAUGUGGCUGUAGGAGCAGGGCAGGGACAGGAAGAUGCUCAGGUUUUGGGGUUUGCUACCACUCUGACACUGCAAGGGUAAAUGUGGCACAAUGCUGGUACCAUGAGACAGGCUGGGGGGCUGGGGGUUGUCUGGGGCCUCACGAGCAGAUGCAUUAAUCUGAUUUCUUACCUACAAGUCCCUGUUUGUUUCUCUAAAAUAAACAAUUAUUAUGCAAGAAAUCAGUCAUUCAUGAGCAUCCUUGUGGAAUAAAACCAAAGGAUUUUUUUUCCUCCCUCUUUACAGGAUUAGUUUAUUUGUUGGACAAGAAUUAUCUUAAUCCGGUAGAUGUCCUUCAACAAGUUAUAAACAAGAGCAACGUCUUUCCGCCAAUGGAUUUCGUUUAACUGGCUCUGAUAAUUUAGGAGAUGUUUGCAGUUCUGAGUCCCUUACAGUAAUGACAUGGCCAAAUAAAUUAACAUGAAAAUAUCCCUUGUUAACACCCAGAUAAUCAAAUUCUUUUGUCAACAACAUCCCCAAAUAACUUGCAUUGACUUUAGUCAAAGUUUGUUAGAGUGAGAGGCUUACUGUGAAGCACAACUUCUUCGCCAUGAACCCAGGACUGCUAAUUUCCAAGUUAAGUAACCGUUCUCAUUUGCAAAGAUCUGUCACCAAGUUCUUUUUCAGCAAAAAUAGGCCAGAAGGAAGGAGGACGAAGCACAGGAGAUGCAUUGCAUUCAAGUUGGCUAUCAGAGCAAUGUCUGCUCAGAGAGCGGCCAGGCGCUGGCACAGCUGCCCAGGGGUGGGCAGUCCCCAUCCAUGGAGGUGUUCAGAGCCGCGGGGAUGUGGCACUGAGGGGUGGGCAGUGGGCACGGGGGGGUGUUGGGAGGUCUCUGAGGGCUUUUCCAGCUUGAAUGGUUCUGUGAUUCUAUGAUCCUAUGAAGAGGAGUGCAUCCCACUGAGCCCCGCAGCCUCCUGUCUUCAGGGAGCAGUAUCCUACAUGUGCCAGUUGCAAAGCUUGCAGAAAUACUUACUGGCUAUAGGUACUGGGAAUCCUGUGAAACCCAGAGGUGCUGUGGAAGUGUUCAGCUGUUUAUGAGGGUGGAUGGUGAUAGGACAAGGGGGAAUGGUUUUAAACUGAGACAAGGGAGGUUUAGGUUGGAUAUUAGGAGGAAUUUUUUCCCCCAGAGGGUGGUGACGCACUGAACAGGUUGCCCAAGGAGGCUGUGGAUGCCCCAUCCCUGCAGGCAUUCAAGGCCAGGCUGGAUGUGGCUCUGGGCAGCCUGGUCUGCUGGUUGGCGACCCUGCACAUAGCAGGGGGUUGGAACUGGAUGAGCGUUGUGGUCCUUUUCAACCCAGGCCAUUCUAUGGUCCUAUGAUUCUAUGAUUCUAAGUGUGCUCCUCAGCCCAGGGUUCAGCAGCAUGGAGCUGUGCAGGACUUUUCCACUUUUUCGCCCUUUCUUCCUCCAGAGCUACUGUGGCAGCUCAGUCCGCCCAGCAAUACCAGGUACUUCAUGCACAGGAAAACAGAACAAACCAAUUUCAGUAAACUAUGUGGAACUCCUGGAGGAUCUUUUUGUUAGGAGUUGAGCAGGCUGUAAAUAACAGAGGCAUUAACAGUAAUUCACACCCCUGGGACAAGCCGUAGAGGAUUACAGCCGCAUGGAACCAUUUGCCUUGAGAAAAAUGACAAAAUUUCCAAGGACUAGAUGGCUUCUUGAGAGAAGAUUUGAAGCUCAGGCUGCACUUGUCUUGAGCCUAUCUGCUAUCAAUUCCAGUUCGUACAAAGACAUUUACUCCUAUUAUUAUUAUAUCCCUGCCCUUUCUCGCCCUUGAAGUAUUGGCGUUGUGGCUCUGAAGACAGAUUCAAUUAACAAACCGGAUAGAUGCUGACCUUUCCGGGGUUGUUAUUCUAUCCUUGAUUUGCUUUAGGGGAGAAAUAUUUCUUUCUUGUAUAAAUAUGAAAUAACAAAUAAAUAACCAACAAUUGAUUUGUAGUUCCAAAAAAAAAGAGAGAGAGAGAAAGGGAGAGAGAGGAAAGAAAUGAACUAGUCAGGCACGGACACUGGCAUUAGCUGAAGGGCUUCGGCACCUUGUGCAGGGAUUACUCACUGAGCACCCCGCCAUCCAUCACGAUUACAGAGCUGUUGGGGGAUUUCUAGAGCAGUUUUUUUCCAGAGAAUCAGGUAACUGAGGCAGCAUAGUGCUUUGCACCUUUUUGUUACCACUACGAUUGAUUUUCUGCAGCGCAAGAAGGAAGUUUUCUUUUUUGCUGCUUUUAUCACACAUUACAGACCACUGUCCUGCAACAUCACAUGGGAUUGCUGGGAUGGGGAUGCAGGGUCAGGGUCAGG